GUGAGGAAUAUUGGUCAAUGGGCGGGAGCCUGAACCAGCCAAGUCGCGUGAAGGAAGAAGGAUCUAUGGUUCGUAAACUUCUUUUGCAGGGGAAUAAAGUGCGGGACGUGUCCUGUUUUGUAUGUACCCUGAGAAUAAGGAUCGGCUAACUCCGUGCCAGCAGCCGCGGUAAUACGGAGGAUCCGAGCGUUAUCCGGAUUUAUUGGGUUUAAAGGGUGCGUAGGUGGUUUGAUAAGUCAGCGGUGAAAGUUUGCAGCUUAACUGUAAAAAUGCCGUUGAAACUGUCGGACUUGAGUGUAAAUGAGGUAGGCGGAAUGCGUGGUGUAGCGGUGAGAUGCAUAGAUAUCACGCAGAACUCCGAUUGCGAAGGCAGCUUACUAAGCUACAACUGACACUGAAGCACGAAAGCGUGGGGAUCAAACAGGAUUAGAAACCCCUGUAGUCC
rnacentral:rRNA from 1 species